UCCCAGGAAUGGAAGAGUCUUACAACUCAAGAUCUCUAGCAUUUUCCAAAUAUGGUGGCUGACCAUCCCAGUAGCUUCUCAUUAGUCCAGAACCAAUCCUGAGGUAACAUUCUCUUGGCUCAGAAUCUGUUUGGUUUUGUUUGUCUGUUUUUUGAGACAGAGUUUCGCUCUUGUCACCCAGGCCUGAAUGCAAUGGCGUGAUCUCAGCUCACUGCAACCUCCACCUCCUGGGUUCAACCAAUUCUCCUGCCUCAGCCUCCCAAGUAGCUGGGAUUACAGGAGCCUACCACCACGCCUGGCUAAUUUUUGUAUUUUUAGUAGAGAUGGGGUUUCACCAUGUUGGCCAGGCUGGUGUUGAAUUCCUGACCUCAGGUGAUCCGCCUGUCUCAGCCUCCCAAAGUGCUGGGAUUACAGGCAUGAGCCACCGUGCCUGGUCUGGGCUCAGAAUCCGUUAUUAAGGAUGUUACAGGGAAAUGACCUUGGCCUAGAAAUAGGGUGAGAAGAAACUAAGACAGGAGUGCCAUGGUCAUUCAACAAGAAAGAGUAUUUCACUCUCCAGUCAGAUUGCCCCCUACUGUGGAAGAGUGUUCAAGAACAUAAGACGAGAGAAAGAAUCAAGGUUUAAGGUAGUCUCACAUUUCAAUUUUUUGCUCAUUGACAAGAUAUAUAGAGAUAUAUAAUUUUUUAUAUGUGUAUAAAAAAUUCUCAUACUUGCAACCUCCCUCUCAGUUGUGUACAUCAACUACAUACAGCUAGAACAGCAAUGAUGGCAUGCUGAAUUGCUGUCAAUUGAUUACCUAGAAAGUGGGCACUGUGUGACUCUCACCUCUCAGUUAUCCCCUCCCUGCCUUUACCACCUCCCUGAAGCCCCUGAAGUUGGUCAGCUUCACUCAACCUGGUGGUAUAAUAAAAUCCAUUGCAGGGGUAGGAUUUGGAGUGGUUGGUGAACCCACCACUCUAGAGUCUGAAGCUUACAGGUGUAAAACAAAAAGGAAGGAAGGAAGACUGGUGGAAUAAAUAAACCAAAGGAAUUAAAUUUUGUUCAGACAUCCACUCUUCACCUUCCCAGCCCCUGUUUGCCUGUAACUACAAAGCAGGUGACUAGAUAACCCCAUCCCCUUUGCCAAGGGUUAGUUUACAGUCACUUUAGGUAAUCACAGUCAUUCCUCUUCCAUCUCCAAUGAUUAGAUUAGGAAUAGAUCAUGUCACUCGAUUUAGAACAGUCUUAAAAGGAAGUCUGCUGAGAGAUCUCUAGGAAAGGUUUCCUUCUUAAAAGGGAGAAUUCAAGAAAGAAAUGGCAAUCAACAUUAAAAACAUUAGGCUAGGUGGGCCGGGUGCAGUGGCUCACACCUGUAAUCCCAGCACUUUGGGAGGCCAAGGCAGGAGUAUCACCUGAGGUCAGGAGUUUAAGGCCAGCCUAGCCAACAUGGUGAAACCCCAUUUCUACUGAAAAUACAAAAAUUAGCUGGGCACAGGGGUGCAUGCCUGUAAUCCCAGCCACCUGGAGGCUGAGGCAGGAGAAUCACCAGAACCUGGGAGGCGGAGGCUGCAGUAAGCCAAGGUCACGCCACUGCACUCCAGCCUGGGUGACAGAGUGAGAUUCCAUCUCAAAAAAAAAAAAAAAAAAAAAAAAAAAUUAGGCUAGGCGAAAUAGGCCAGUCACAAAAGACCACAUAGUGUAUGACUCCACUUACAUGAAACCACCAGAAGUGGCAGAUGCAUGAAAAUGGAACAUGGAUUAGAGGUUGCCUAGGACUGCAGUUGGGGGGAGGUUGGGGAGAAGUGGGAAAUGAUUGCUAAUGGGUAUGGGAUUUAUUUUUAGGGAGAUGAAAAUGUUCUAAAAUUGAUGGUGGUGGUUGUAGGACAACUAUGAAUCUACUAAAACUCAGUGAAACAUAAAGUUUAAGUAGGAAAAUUGUAUGGUAUGUGAAUUAUAUCUCCAUAAAGCUGUUUUUUAAAAAAGAGAAAGAGAUGGUCGCACUUUUCUCCUAUAGGAUCAUAUAUGUGUAUGUAAUGCCUGAAACUGCUAUAGUCAUUCUUCAUCCAUGAAGGGAGCCAGCCCUAGGGCAAAGCCAACUCACAGAGAAUGUCAGAGGAAAAAGAUAAAGAGCCCAGGUCCUCAAUGACAUCACGGAACCAAAUGGUUGUACUAUGUCUGGAGUUUGCCCAAACUCUGGGACAUCCUAUUAUGUGAAAUAAUAAAUUCCCUUAUUGUUUAGGGGGGAGUCAGGGUUUUCUGUUCCCUGGAGCCAUGAGCCCCAACUUGAUAAACUGCAAGCCAUAGGCUAUAUUGGUGGAUAGGAAACACAACGAGGACAGUGAUUUAAAAGAAAAAAAAAAAUGAUGGCAAG
rnacentral:lncRNA from 10 species